UCCCAGCUCAAUCAGUAAAGAGAUUGCCUGCAAUGCAGGAGACCCGGGUUCGAUUCCUGGGUUGGGAA
rnacentral:tRNA from 1 species